rnacentral:rRNA from 1 species
GAAGGUCCAAGCGUUGUUCGGAUUUACUGGGGCGUAAAGCGUGCGUAGGCGGCAAGGUAAGUCAGAUGUGAAAUCCCGGGGGCUCAACCCCGGGAACUGCAUCCGAUACUGCCUUGCUAGAGUAAUGGAGGGGCAUCUGGAAUUCAUGGUGUAGCAGUGAAAUGCGUAGAUAUCAUGAGGAACACUAGUGGCGAAGGCGAGAUGCUGGACAUUUACUGACGCUGAGGUACGAAGGCCAGGGUAGCGAAAAGGAUUAGAUACCCUUGUAGUCCUGGCAGUAAACGGUGCUCGCUUGGGUGUGGGGAGGUUCGACCCUCUCCGUGCCGGAGCUAACGCGUUAAGCGAGCCGCCUGGGGAGUACGGUCGCAAGACUA